UAAGGGCGCACGGUGGAUGCCUUGGCACUAGAAGCCGAUGAAGGACGUUACUAACGACGAUAUGCUUUGGGGAGCUGUAAGUAAGCUUUGAUCCAGAGAUUUCCGAAUGGGGAAACCCAGCAUGAGUUAUGUCAUGUUAUCGAUAUGUGAAUACAUAGCAUAUCAGAAGGCACACCCGGAGAACUGAAACAUCUUAGUACCCGGAGGAAGAGAAAGAAAAUUCGAUUCCCUUAGUAGCGGCGAGCGAAACGGGAAGAGCCCAAACCAACAAGCUUGCUUGUUGGGGUUGUAGGACACUCUAUACGGAGUUACA
rnacentral:rRNA from 1 species